rnacentral:sRNA from 1 species
AACAGCAUGGAAGGAGGUGAUCGAAUGUCUCAUUGUCAAACGCCGUCUGCGGCGCGCACUCAGGGUUCGGUCCGCUCCAUCGGAGCCGCCGCCUGAGGCAUUGACGUUAAGGUCGCUCGCCGCAGCGGCUGACAAUGGAAAGGCCGUUCCCCGAUGGGGAGCGGCCU